GUGUGGCCUGUCUUAUAUAAUAGAACGGAGAGGGCUCAUUGGGAGAAUUUGAUCAAACCAAAGAAUAGCAUUAUCAAGCUUAUUGGAAUCAAUUGGGGGUGUCAAACCUUCUAUCUCAAGGAUCUUAUCUGAAAAGAGAUCCAUUACUCUUUUCUUUCCUUCUUUACCAUUUGUGCAACCGAUAUAGUGAUCGUAAUCACACCAAGAGAGGACAUGCCACACAUCCUCCUCUUUUACGAUGGCCUACUCCCAACGACUGAAGUUGCACUGAUCUCGAAGUGAUUCAUAGAGGUCAUGAUACCGGCUGACAGAUCUUUUCUCCCGGUGCGUGAAAUGAGGCCUUAACAAUCAUCAGCUAGUUUGUCUUUGGACAAACUAUCGAGGAAAAUCAUAGAAGUGUGACCUGUGUUGCAGAAACGGUCGAUAAUUGUGAUAAACAUAACCUGAUAAAAUUAAAGUGCGAGAUAUUUGAUCGAACACGAACUGAGCAUACUGGGGACUAGAAUGGUUCAGGGGUGAUGGUUUCGGAAGGAAAAAACAUGUGAGGUAAGUGAUGUUAAAGCAUGAUUUUUAAAGGGUCGCAAGUAAUAAGAUAAGGAUCGAAGAUAUGGCUGGGCUAUAUACAGUUUUUAUAGAAAACGCUCGGUGAUGGUCUGAGGAGGGGAAAACAUUUGAUGUAAGUAAUGUUAAAGCAUGGUUUUUACAGAGUCGCACGUAAUAAUUAAGAUAAGGAUCGAUGAUAUGGCCGGGCUAGAUACAGUUUUCCUAGAAAACGCUCGGGUGAUGAUCUCAGGAGGAUAAUACAUACUCCCUCUGUCCCAUUUAAUUCUAUACGUUUCUUUUUAACUGCUCGACACGCAUUCCAAUGCUCUUAUAAAAUAUAGUUCCACAACUUUUUUUUGAGAUUUUCUUUUUCUGUAUAAAAAUAUAACAUCCAAACUUUAAUUCAGAAAAGAAAAAUUUUAAAAAUAUAUUGCACAACUACAUUUUGCAGGAGCAUUAAAGUCCGUGCCGCGUCCCCGUCCCCCAAUGUACACUACUCAGGGGGACGGAGGGAGUAUGAGGUAAGUGAUGUUAAAACAUGGCUUUUAAAGAAUCACAUAUAAUAAGAUAAGGAUCGAAGAUAUGGCCGGGCUAGAUACAGUUUCCCCAGAAAACGCUGAAACUGAUUCCGUCAUAAAAUAUAUCUCUUUUAACUUACUUUAUCGGUUUUUUUUUAUAACUGACUUCCACUUUUUGCAUGCACGCGUGUUUUGUUUGGGGGUGAUUUUUUUUACGGAUAUCUAUCAAUUGAAUGCUCAAAUUUAAUAUAAUUUUAAUUCGAAUUCCCAAGAUUUAAAUUUAUUAUUUUCAUGUCGCCUUUGCCUUCUUAAGUUUGUUGGAAGCUAUCAUGAAUUAUUAUUAUGUGGUAGUAUUGCUCGUUCAUGUAACUUUAAAAUGAUGACUUAAAAUUUAUAAUGAUUUAACAGUUUUUCUCUGGUGUGCCCGUGGGCACACACUUAGUGCGAAAUUUUUUGUGUUUAGAUCAUUUUGAUUGGCUCCUACUUCUUAAUAAUGGUGGACUCCCCUGUAAAUACACCAACCACACCAAUCAAAAUGAUCUAAAUGAAAAAAUUUCCGCGCUUAGCAUGUGCCGAUAGGCACACAGUAGACAAACCCAUGAUCUAAUGUGAUGCACCGUCUAAAUUAUCUUUGUGAUUAAAUUUACAUUACAGGUGACUUGAAGCAUCUCUAAUUUUAUAAAAAGUUUAGCAGAAUAUCUAGGUAGCAGGUCAUAAAUAGAAAAUAUAUAAUCUACAGGAUGUCAGAUGUUUAUGAAUAUUAUAGGAUAAAAAAAAUUAGAUUUAAAUGACUAGAUUGUAUUAUAUCCAAUUUUGUAUUCCAAUACUACAAGAUUUUUGUGUACUCCAAAGAACUUGACCCCGACACAUACAUAUUUUUUUUUGAACAUGAUUUUCCUUGACAUUUUGUUAUUAAUCCAACCAUGUUUCAUAAAUCAUCUUGGAGGUUCUUAACAACCACAACUAUCUAAGUCUGCAAAAGAUAGCCGAGCUUAGUUUUGUCUGGACAAAGCCGAUUUUAACUUCUUCUUUUUUUGAAACUAGUCGAGUCGAUUCGAUUUUAACUUCUUCUCUAAUAAAUUUGAAAGAUUGUUCAGCUUAAAAACAACCAUCGAUCCUCGUACAUGUCUGUUGAUGACAAAUAUUUUAUUACUUUUUGUCAUAAUUUCUUAAGACUAGUGUUCAACAAAUCAGUCUCGCCAAUUGUGUAGGCGGCACCGAAACGACCUUGUGCAAAGAUAGACAGCGAAUUAGACAAUUUCUACAUACAAAAAUCGGUUGAUAUUUGUGCUACACGGUUAAUUUAACAUCCCGCCUAGACAGUCUAGGUGGUCAAUAAGAAAAAAUAAUAUCAAUAACUAAAAUUUAAAAUAUUUAUAAUAAUCAGAAGAAAUUAAGUAGUGUCUUAUACUUAACUUUAUAUUUUAUUGAAAAAUUAAAGUAACUAAUUUUUAUUUCAUUUACAUUAUGUGUAAGAGAUGUAUUGAUAUAUAUUUAUUUUGUUAGUGAUCUUGUGUUAUAUGUCAAGAAUUUAUUUCAUAUAUGAUAUUAUAUUAUGUACAAGUCAAAUAUUAUACUGGCAGUAAAAGAUUAAAAAAAAAAUAUAUUAUGUAUACUUAUAAUAAUUUAAAAUUAAUAUGUAUAUGAUUAAUACUCCCAUUAAUCUUUGCAAUUAAUCCAUGAUUUUUCUUUUAAUUGCUAAAAGGGAAGCCUAACGGCUUUUACCAAGCUGCUUAAAUUUGUAAGAUUUCUGUAUUAGAAUUAAACAUAAUAUGAAAGUACUCCCUAUGUCCCUCUCAUUUCUCUACGUUGCUUUUCGGCACGCUUUUCCACACUCAUUUAAAUUAUAGUUCCAUAAUAUAUUUUUUUAAUUUUUUUUCUUUGAAUAAAAGUUUGAUACUUAAACUUUUAUUCAAAAAAGAAAAUUUUAGAAAAAAAUUAUGCAACUAUACUUUAUAGGAGUCUCAAAAUGCGUGCAAACAGUGAACGUAAACAACCACGGAGAUGGAGGAGUAUAAAAUUAUUUCUAUCAUGAAGUAUUCGGAAUUCCUGAAGUAACGAGUGAGUAAAAGGGACAACGAUUUAGUUCUUUCAUCAUAUGUAUCAUCUCCAUAUGUUCCGUGUGGAAUUACAUUUGAAUAAAAGCAUUCUUUCGCCAACAUUUCUGUGUGCAGCCUGUUAAGAGGUGAUUGCAAAAUGUUGUGUAGCUUUCCUUUUUGUAUAUAUUAAAAUAUCAGAGAAAAACGAGUACAGGAAAUUUAUUUUCAGUGAAAGCACCAGAAGCUUUUCGUGUUUAUACAGUUUGGAAGAACAAGAUGGGAACAUAAUCAUCAUGGUUAAACUAAUCUACCAGCAGAGCAUUGAUUCGUUAUAAUAAUUAAUACAGGAGAAGCUUAUGAGAACAAAAUAUAGAAAACGCUGAAACUCAUUCCGUCAUAAAAUAUAUCUCUGUAACUUACUUUACCGGUUUCUUUUUUAUAACUGACUACCACUUUUUGCAUGCACGCGUGUUUUGUUUGGGGGUGAUUAUUUUUUACGGAUAUCUAUCAAUUGAAUGCUCAAAUUUAAAAUAAUUUUAAUUCGGAUUCCCAAGAUUUAAAUUUUUUAUUUUCAUGUCGCCUCUGCCUUCUUAAGUUUGUUGGAAUUUAUCAUGAAUUAUUAUUAUGUUGUAGUAUUGCUCGUUCAUGUAACUUUAAAAUGAUGACCUAAAAUUUAUAAUGAUUUAACAGUUUUUCUAUGGUGUGCCCGUAGGCACAUGCUAAGCGCGGAAAUUUUUGUGUUUAGAUUAUUUUCAUUGGCUUCUACUUCUUAAUAAUGGUGGACCCCUAAAUACAUUAACCAUACCAAUCAAAAUGAUCUAAAUGCCAAAAUUUCCGCGCUCAGCAUGUGCCCAUGGACACCCAGCAGACAAACCCCUGAUUUAAUGCAUGUCAUGCACCGUCUAAAUUAUCUUUUACAGGUGACUUAAAGAAUCUCCAAUUUUAUAAAAAGUUUAGCAAAAUAUCUAGGUAGCAUGUCAUAAAUAGAAAAUAUAUAAUCUACAGGAUGUCAGAUGUCUAUGAAUAUUAUAGGAUAAAAAAAUUAAAUUGAAAUGACUAGAUUGUAUUUUUCCAAUUUUGUACUCCAAUACUACAAGAUUUUUGUGUACUCCUAAGAACUUGACCCCCGACACGUACAUUUUUUUUUAUGAACAUGAUUUCCCUUUACAUUUUGUUAUUAAUCCAACCGCGUUUCAUAAAUCAUCUUGGAAGUUCUUAACAACCACAACUAUCUAAGUCUGCGAAAGAUAGUCGAGCUUAGUUUUGUCUGGACCAAGCCGAUUUUAAGUUCUUCUUUUUUUGAAAUUAGUCGAGUCGAUUCGAUUUUAACUUCUUCUCUAAUAAAUUUGAAAGAUUGUUCAGCUAAAAAAACAACCAUCGAUCCUCCUACAUGUCCGUUGAUAACAAUUAUUUUAUUACUUUUUGUCAUAAUUUCUUGAGACUAUUGUCUUACAAAUCAGUCUCGCCAAUUGUGUAGGCGGCACCGAAACGUCCUUGUGCAAACAUAGACAGCGAAUUAGACAGUUUCUACAUACAAAAAUCGGUUGAUAUUUGUCCUUUACAGUUAAUUUAACAUCCCGCCUAGACAGUCUAGGUGGUCAAUAAAAAAAAUAUUAUAAAUAACUAAACUUUAAAAUAUUUAUAAUAAUCAUAAGAAAUUAAGUAGUGUCUUAUACUUAACUUUAUAUUUUAUUUAAAAAUUAAAGUAACUAAUUUUUAUUCAAUUCAUAUUAUGUGUAAGAGAUGUAUUGAUAUAUAUUUAUUUUGUUAGUGAUCUUGUGUUGUAUGUCAAGAAUUUAUUUCGUAUAUGAUAUUAUAUUAUGUGCAAGUCAAAUACUUUAUUGGCACUUUGGCAGUAAAAAAUAAUAUAUAUAUAUAUAUAUAUAUAUAUAUAUAUAUUAUGUAUACUUAUAAUAAUUUAAAAUAAAUAUGUAUAUGAUUAAUACUCCCAUUAAUCUUUGAAAUUAAUCCAUGAUUUUCCUAUUAAUUGCUAGAGUGGAAGCCUGACGGCUUUUACGAAGCUGCUUAAAUUUGUAAGAUUUCUGUAUUAGAAUUAAACAUAAUAUGAAAGUAUAAGAUUAUUUUGAUCAUUAAGCAUUCGGAAUUCCUGAUGUAAUUGUAAAUAGGAUAUAACGAUUUUGUUCUUUGAUCAUAUGUAUCAUCUCCAUAUAAUAUUCAGUGGAAUUACAUAUGAAUAAAAGCAUUCUUUCGCCAACAUUUCUGUGUGGAGGUUAAUUUAGAGGUGAUUGCAAAAUGUUGUCCAGCUUUCCUUUUUGCAUAUCUCAAAACAUCAGAGAAGGAGAACAGGAAAUUUGUUUCCAGAGAUAACACUAGAAGCUUUCCGUGUUUAUACAGCUUGGAAGAACAAGGAUAUGAACAUAAUCAUCAUGGUUAAAUUAAUCUACCAGUAGAGCAUUGAUUCUUUAUAAUACUCUUUAUAAUACAAUAGAAGCUCACUUAUGAGAACAAACUACUAAAAAAUGUUUCUAGUACAUUUCUAGUAUAUUUAUUCUUUACACAAAUUGCAGAGUGGCAUAGGUUACAAUAUCAGCUCUACAAUCUCACUUCUUCGGUUCCCCUUAUAUCUGAAUAACUUCAUGGUAGAUGUGUGGCCUGUCUUAUAUAAUAGAACGGAGAGGGCUCAUUGGGAGAAUUUGAUCAAACCAAAGAAUAGCAUUAUCAAGCUUAUUGGAAUCAAUUGGGGGUGUCAAACCUUCUAUCUCAAGGAUCUUAUCUGAAAAGAGAUCCAUUACUCUUUUCUUUCCUUCUUUGCCAUUUGUGCAACCGCUAUAGUGGACGUAAGCACAUCGAGAGAGGAAAUGCCACACGUCCUCCUCUUUCACGAUGGCCUACUCCCAACGAUUGAAGUUGCACUGGCCUUGAAGUGAUUCAUUAGAGGUCAUGACACCGACCGACAGAUCUUUUCUCCCGGUGCGGAAAAGGAGGCCUUAACAAUCAUCAGCUAGUUUGUCUUUGGACAAACUAUCGAUGAAAAUCAUAGAAGUGUGACCUGUGUUGCAGAAACGGUCAAUAAUUGUGAUAAUACAUAACUUGAUAUAAUUAAAGUGCGAGAUAUUUGAUCGAACAUGAACUGAGUAUACUGGGGAUUAGAAUGGUUCAGGGGUGAUGGUUUCGGG
rnacentral:lncRNA from 1 species